rnacentral:rRNA from 1 species
UACGUAGGGAGCAAGCGUUGUCCGGAUUCAUUGGGCGUAAAGCGCGCGUAGGCGGCUUCGUAAGUCCGUUGUGAAAGUCAAAGGCUCAACCUUUGAAAGCCGAUGGAUACUGCGGAGCUAGAGUACGGAAGAGGCGAGUGGAAUUCCUGGUGUAGCGGUGGAAUGCGCAGAUAUCAGGAGGAACACCAAUAGCGAAGGCAGCUCGCUGGGACGUUACUGACACUGAGGCGCGAAAGCGUGGGGAGCGAACAGG